GGGGCUGAUUCUGGAUUCGACGGGAUUUGCGAAACCCAAGGUGCAUGCCGAGGGGCGGUUGGCCUCGUAAAAAGCCGCAAAAAAAUAGUCGCAAACGACGAAACCUACGCUUUAGCAGCUUAAUAACCUGCUUAGAGCCCUCUCUCCCUAGCCUCCGCUCUUAGGACGGGGAUCAAGAGAGGUCAAACCCAAAAGAGAUCGCGCGGAUGCCCUGCCUGGGGUUGAAGCGUUAAAACGAAUCAGGCUAGUCUGGUAGUGGCGUGUCCGUCCGCAGGUGCCAGGCGAAUGUAAAGGCUGACUAAGCAUGUAGUACCGAGGAUGUAGGAAUUUCGGACGCGGGUUCAACUCCCGCCAGCUCCACCA
rnacentral:tmRNA from 3 species